rnacentral:rRNA from 1 species
GUAAAGAGCACGUAGGUGGGUUUGUAAGUCAGAUGUGAAAGCCUUCUGUUCAACGGAAGAAUUGCAUCUGAAACUGCGAGUCUUGAGUGUAGGAGGGGAGAAUGGAACUUCUGGUGGAGCGGUGAAAUGCGUAGAUAUCAGAAGGAACGCCGGCGGCGAAAGCGAUUCUCUGGCCUAUUACUGACACUCAGUGUGCGAAAGCUAGGGGAGCAAACGGGAUUAGAUACCCCGGUAGUCCUAGCUGUAAACGAUGGGCACUAAGUAGAGGGAAUUACCGAUGUUCUCUCUGCCGUAGCUAACGCAUUAAGUGCCCCGCCUGGGGAGUACGGCCGCAAGGCUAAAACUCAAAAGAAUUGACGGGGGCUCGCACAAGCGGUGGAGCAUGUGGCUUAAUUCGAUGCAACGCGAAGAACCUUACCGGGGCUUGACAUGUUAGAAGUAGGAACCCGAAAGGGUAACGAACGGUAUCCAGUCCGUAACUUUCACAGGUGUUGCAUGGCUGUCGUCAGCUCGUGUCGUGAGACGUUGGGUUAAGUCCCCUAACGAGCGAAACCCUUGUUUUUAGUUACCAGCGGGUUAUGCCGGGUACUCUAGAAAGACUGCCGUCGUCAAGACGGAGGAAGGUGGGGAUGACGUCAAGUCAUCAUGGCCCUUAUGCCCCGGGCUGCACACGUGCUACAAUGGUCGGUACAAACGGAAGCGAAACCGAGAGGUGGAGCGAAUCCUAAAAAGCCGAUCUCAGUUCGGAUUGGAGGCUGAAAUUCGCCUCCA